GACGAACCCUUCGGGGUGAGUGGCGGACGGGUGCGUAACGCGUGGGAAACUGCCCUGGGGUGCGGAACAACAGUUAGAAAUGACUGCUAAUACCGCAUAAUGACUUCGGUCCAAAGAUUUAUCGCCCUUGGAUGUGCCCGCGUUGGAUUAGCUUGUUGGUGGGGUAAAGGCCUACCAAGGCGACGAUCCAUAGCUGGUCUGAGAGGAUGAUCAGCCACACUGGGACUGAGACACGGCCCAGACUCCUACGGGAGGCAGCAGUGGGGAAUAUUGGACAAUGGGCGAAAGCCUGAUCCAGCAAUGCCGCGUGAGUGAUGAAGGCCUUAGGGUUGUAAAGCUCUUUUACCAGGGAUGAUAAUGACAGUACCUGGAGAAUAAGCUCCGGCUAACUCCGUGCCAGCAGCCGCGGUAAUACGGAGGGAGCUAGCGUUGUUCGGAAUUACUGGGCGUAAAGCGCGCGUAGGCGGCUUUCCAAGUCAGAGGUGAAAUCCCGGGGCUCAACCCCGGAACUGCCUUUGAAACUGGAUCGCUAGAGUCUUGGAGAGGUGAGUGGAAUUCCGAGUGUAGAGGUGGAAUUCGUAGAUAUUCGGAAGAACACCAGUGGCGAAGGCGACUCACUGGACAAGUACUGACGCUGAGGUGCGAAAGCAUGGGGAGCAAACAGGAUUAGAUACCCUGGUAGUCCAUGCCGUAAACGAUGAGAACUAGCUGUCGGGGCCCAUAGGGUUUCGGUGGCGCAGCUAACGCAUUAAGUUCU
rnacentral:rRNA from 1 species